AUUUGACCAUCUUGUGUGUUUACGGAGAAGACCAAAAGCUGCUAAGGCAGAUAUUUCCAGAGGUACAAACAGAGCGGAUGGUUGCAUGAUGGCCUCUUUCAGGUUUGUCAACUGAAUGUCUACUAGUGUGGCUCAGCAAGUUCCUGUCAUGAUCAGCCCUCUCCAAGAAAGCUGAAGAGCAAAAACACAAACAACAUCAGUCCUGUUGGGGAUGAGGAAUGAUUAUGGCUCUAUUGUGCCCAAACAGAAAAGAGUGAAAAGUCCUAGAAUGAACAAAUCAUCAGGGCAUCAUUUCUGGAAUUUGGGCAGAAAAUGACUGAAUAUGAAAGACUGCAGUAGAAGGAAAGCUGGUACUGAGAACAUUUGUCUUCACUCCAGACUAAAGAGAAGCGGGUCUGAGGCCAGAGAUGGAGGAGUCAAUGGUCACCAAAUGCAGCGCUGCAGCCUGAAACUGUGAAGACUGAAUUCCCAAACAGCUGUGUGACUGCACAGAUGUUACGGCCAUAAAAGAAACUUCACAACUGAGAGCCCAUACCUCCAACAACCUUCAACAGGAAUCAAUGGACAUCUACGCAAGGUUUUUCUUUUGUGAGGACCGUCAGAGACUCCAGCCACACGAGCCAUGGAUUGCUCUCAACAUCACCAUCAGACAGACAUUAUCACAGAACCAGCACCAGCAGACUGCAAAACAAGUUCCUUCAACAGGCAAUCAGACUGAACUGAACUCGUACCAGUAACACCACACACACACACACACACA